GAUGAACGCUGACAGAAUGCUUAACACAUGCAAGUCUACUUGAUCCUUCGGGUGAUGGUGGCGGACGGGUGAGUAACGCGUAAAGAACUUGCCCUGCAGUCUGGGACAACAUUUGGAAACGAAUGCUAAUACCGGAUAUUAUGUGAGUUUCGCAUGAAAUUCAUAUGAAAGCUAUAUGCGCUGCAGGAGAGCUUUGCGUCCUAUUAGCUAGUUGGUGAGGUAACGGCUCACCAAGGCGAUGAUAGGUAGCCGGCCUGAGAGGGUGAACGGCCACAAGGGGACUGAGACACGGCCCUUACUCCUACGGGAGGCAGCAGUGGGGAAUAUUGGGCAAUGGACCAAAAGUCUGAUCCAGCAAUUCAGUGUGCACGAUGAAGUUUUUCGGAAUGUAAAGUGCUUUCAGUUGGGACGAAGUAAGUGACGGUACCAACAGAAGAAGCGACGGCUAAAUACGUGCCAGCAGCCGCGGUAAUACGUAUGUCGCAAGCGUUAUCCGGAUUUAUUGGGCGUAAAGCGCGUCUAGGCGGUUUGGUAAGUCUGAUGUGAAAAUGCGGGGCUCAACUCCGUAUUGCGUUGGAAACUGCCAAACUAGAGUACUGGAGAGGUGGGCGGAACUACAAGUGUAGAGGUGAAAUUCGUAGAUAUUUGUAGGAAUGCCGAUGGGGAAGCCAGCCCACUGGACAGAUACUGACGCUAAAGCGCGAAAGCGUGGGUAGCAAACAGG
rnacentral:rRNA from 1 species